rnacentral:rRNA from 1 species
UACGAAGGGGGCUAGCGUUGCUCGGAAUUACUGGGCGUAAAGGGCGCGUAGGCGGGUGUUUAAGUCAGAGGUUAAAUCCCAGAGCUCAACUCUGGAACUGCCUUUGAUACUGGACACCUAGAGUACGGGAGAGGUGUGUGGAACUCCGAGUGUAGAGGUGAAAUUCGUAGAUAUCGGGAGGAACACCGGUGGCGAAGGCGGCGAUCUGGGUCGAUACUGACGCUGAGGUGCGAAAGCGUGGGGAGCAAACAGG